GAUGAAGAACGUAGCGAAAUGCGAUAAGUAGUGUGAAUUGCAGAAUUCAGUGAAUCAUCGAAUCUUUGAACGCACAUUGCGCCUCCUGGUAUUCCGGGAGGCAUGCCUGUUCGAGCGUCAUUAAAAUCACUCAAGCUUAGGUUUACCUAUUGCUUGGUCUUGGAGAUGGCAGCCAAUUUAUUGGAAUCCUCUUCGAAAUUCAAUGGCGAAGACCCUUGCUCUCCCAAGUGUAGUAAUAACUUAUGUCACUGAAGGAAGCGAGAAAUCUUCUGCCGUAACCCCCAUAUUUUCUAUGAUUGACCUCGGAUCAGGUAGGGAUACCCGCUGAACUUAAGCAUAUCAAUAAGCGGAGGA
rnacentral:misc_RNA from 1 species